GAGUUUGAUCCUGGCUCAGGACGAACGCUGGCGGCGUGCUUAACACAUGCAAGUCGAACGGUGAAGCCCAGCUUGCUGGGUGGAUUAGUGGCGAACGGGUGAGUAACACGUGAGUAACCUGCCCUUCACUCUGGGAUAACUCCGGGAAACCGGUGCUAAUACUGGAUAUGACCGCUUCCCGCAUGGGAUGGUGGUGGAAAGUUUUUCGGUGGGGGAUGGACUCGCGGCCUAUCAGCUUGUUGGUGGGGUAAUGGCCUACCAAGGCGACGACGGGUAGCCGGCCUGAGAGGGCGACCGGCCACACUGGGACUGAGACACGGCCCAGACUCCUACGGGAGGCAGCAGUGGGGAAUAUUGCACAAUGGGCGAAAGCCUGAUGCAGCGACGCCGCGUGAGGGAUGACGGCCUUCGGGUUGUAAACCUCUUUCAGUAGGGACGAAGCUUUUGUGACGGUACCUACAGAAGAAGCACCGGCUAACUACGUGCCAGCAGCCGCGGUAAUACGUAGGGUGCGAGCGUUGUCCGGAAUUAUUGGGCGUAAAGAGCUUGUAGGCGGUUUGUCGCGUCUGCUGUGAAAGCCCGGGGCUUAACUCCGGGUCUGCAGUGGGCACGGGCAGACUAGAGUAUGGUAGGGGAGACUGGAAUCCCUGGUGUAGCGGUGGAAUGCGCAGAUAUCAGGAGGAACACCGAUGGCCGAAGGCAGGUCUCUGGGCCAUAACUGACGCUGAGAAAGCGAAAGCAUGGGUAACGAACAGGAUUAGAUACCCUGGUAGUCCAUGCCGUAAACGUUGGGCGCUAGGUGUGGGACUCAUUCCACGAGUUCCGUGCCGCAGCUAACGUAUUAAGCGCCCCGCCUGGGGAAUACGGCCGCAAGGCUAAAACUCAAAGGAAUUGACGGGGGCCCGCACAAGCGGCGGAGCAUGCGGAUUAAUUCGAUGCAACGCGAAGAACCUUACCAAGGCUUGACAUAUACCGGAAACGCUCAGAGAUGGGUGCCCCGCAAGGUCGGUAUACAGGUGGUGCAUGGUUGUCGUCAGCUCGUGUCGUGAGAUGUUGGGUUAAGUCCCGCAACGAGCGCAACCCUCGUUCUAUGUUGCCAGCACGUGAUGGUGGGGACUCAUAGGAGACUGCCGGGGUCAACUCGGAGGAAGGUGGGGAUGACGUCAAAUCAUCAUGCCCCUUACGUCUUGGGCUUCACGCAUGCUACAAUGGCCGGUACAAAGGGCUGCGAUACCGUAAGGUGGAGCGAAUCCCAAAAAACUGGUCUCAGUUCGGUUUGGGGUCUGCAACUCGACCCCAUGAAGUCGGAGUCGCUAGUAAUCGCAGAUCAGCAACGCUGCGGUGAAUACGUUCCCGGGCCUGUACACACCGCCCGUC
rnacentral:rRNA from 1 species